UCCAGACUCCUACGGGAGGCAGCAGUGAGGAAUAUUGGUCAAUGGCCGCAGGGCUGAACCAGCCAAGUCGCGUGAGGGAUGACGGUCCUAUGGAUUGUAAACCUCUUUUGUCAGGGAGCAAAGGGCGCCACGUGUGGCGUUUUGCGAGUACCUGAAGAAAAAGCAUCGGCUAACUCCGUGCCAGCAGCCGCGGUAAUACGGAGGAUGCGAGCGUUAUCCGGAUUUAUUGGGUUUAAAGGGUGCGCAGGCGGAAUGUCAAGUCAGCGGUAAAAUUUCGGGGCUCAACCCCGUCGUGCCGUUGAAACUGGCGUUUUUGAGUGAGCGAGAAGUAUGCGGAAUGCGUGGUGUAGCGGUGAAAUGCAUAGAUAUCACGCAGAACUCCGAUUGCGAAGGCAGCAUACCGGCGCUCAACUGACGCUCAUGCACGAAAGCGUGGGUAUCGAACAGGAUUAGAUACCCGGGUAAA
rnacentral:rRNA from 1 species